UACGUAGGGGGCAAGCGUUGUCCGGAUUUAUUGGGCGUAAAGAGCGUGUAGGCGGCCAGGUAGGUCUGCUGUGAAAACUCGAGGCUCAACCUCGAGAUGUCGGCGGAAACCAUCUGGCUAGAGUCCGGAAGAGGAAAGUGGAAUUCCCGGUGUAGCGGUGAAAUGCGCAGAUAUCGGAGAGACACCGUGGCGAAGGCGGGCUUCUGGGCGUAACUGACGCUGAGAGCGACGAAGCUGGGGAGCGAACAGG
rnacentral:rRNA from 1 species